UGGUAUUUUAAGGUUGUAAACCUUUAUCAGAGUUUAUCUCACCAA
rnacentral:tRNA from 1 species